UUUUGAUCUCAUUUCCACCGUAUGGAGGAGCUAAUGUUAUUUUCAUUUUACAGAUGAGGAUUCCAAGGCUCAUAGCCACUGAGUUCUAUGAAAGAUUUUCCCUGUAUUUGAGGAUCUGGCCAUCUCUGAACGUGUCACCUCAUGGCAAGCUCAAACCCAAUUCUUCUCAUGAAGACCCAGUCCUUCCCUCAAAGAGCUCAUGAGACUAUGGAGGACAGACGGGAACUCGUGGUAAGUGUCGCGGUAGUGGUACGAGCC
rnacentral:lncRNA from 1 species